GUGCUCAUGGUGUAGUGGUUAUCACAUCUGUCUAACACACAGAAGGUUUCCCAGGUUCGAGCCUGGUGAGCACA